UAACCUACCCAUCAGAGGGGGAUAACACUUGGAAACAGGUGCUAUACCGCAUAACAGUUUAUGCCGCAUGGCAUAAGAGUGAAAGGCGCUUUCGGGUGUCGCUGAUGGAUGGACCCGCGGUGCAUUAGCUAGUUGGUGAGGUAACGGCUCACCAAGGCCACGAUGCAUAGCCGACCUGAGAGGGUGAUCGGCCACACUGGGACUGAGACACGGCCCAG
rnacentral:rRNA from 1 species